rnacentral:tRNA from 1 species
CUACAUUGACAUUGUAGAGGUCAUAGGUUCGAGUCCUAUACCGUCCACCA